UUUAAGGCAGUUGUUUAUUUUUUGUUUACAUAAUUCUCUUUCAAUUAAUCCUGUCAGUUAUUUUAGUUAAAAAGAGCUAAGCAAAUACAAUAUAGUUUUACUUUGUCUGUACAGGAAGUUUUAUUUUUAAAGAGCCGUUAGUUGACAUCACUUCCUGUUAAGAAACUUCCUGGCUCUUCGUGGCUCCCCUGAAAAGCAUGACAGACAUGUUAUGAGUGCUCUGAACUAAAUUUGUUGUCAUCCACUAUCAAGCAUCAUAGAGGCAAUGCUUUUUCACCGAACAGUAAUGAAGAAGUGUGGUAAAUGAAGAAGUAAAUGAUUUUCGACACACUGCACGAGAACACUAUAGAGCCUGUGGCAGACAGUGACCGCAGGCAGAAAGAAAAAAAAAAAAAAACCUACUAAAUGGCCCGAUGGUUUUGUUUUAAGUACAUUAUCCAACUUCCGUCAUUUAUUUAAA